ensembl:lncRNA PMS2P4 PMS1 homolog 2, mismatch repair system component pseudogene 4
GGGAGCCCAGGAGGCGGGGCGCCUGUGGGAGUCGUGGAGGGAACUUUCCCAGGCCCCGAGGCGGAUCGGGUAUUGAGUCCAUGGAGCGAGCUGAGAGCUAGAGUACAGAACCUGCUAAGGCCAUCAAACCUAUCGAUCGGAAGUCAGUCCAUCAGAUUUGCUCUGGGCCGGUGGUACUGAGUCUAAGCACUGCGGUGAAGGAGUUAGUAGAAAACAGUCUGGAUGCUGGUGCCACCAAUAUUGAUCUAAAGCUUAAGGACUAUGGAGUGGAUCUCAUUGAAGUUUCAGACAAUGGAUGUGGGGUAGAAGAAGAAAACUUUGAAGGCUUAACGAUGUCACCAUUUCUACCUGCCACGCAUCGGCGAAGGUUGGGACUCGACUGGUGUUUGAUCACGAUGGGAAAAUCAUCCAGAAAACCCCCUACCCCCACCCCAGAGGGACCACAGUCAGCGUGAAGCAGUUAUUUUCUACACUACCUGUGCACCAUAAGGAAUUUCAAAGGAAUAUUAAGAAGACGUGCCUGUUUCCCCUUCGCCUUCUGCCGUGAUUGUCAGUUUCCUGAGGCCUCCCCAGCCAUGCUUCCUGUACAGCCUGCAGAACUACUGUCCCUGAAGUGUUGUCUACUGUUGUGGAGGCAAUCACUGUCAUUCCCAGGCACUGAGCCUCGAAACUGCAGAGUCAAAGGUGACCUCCUUUUCCCUGGCCGCUCACACCACCUCCAUCGAUUCUCCCUGGGCAGCACUUCUGCUGCCAGUGGCGUGACUUGGUCACGCAGGCCCUUCCUCUGGGCCACAGCCACUGUCUUCCAGCCAAUUGACCUUCUGAUUCCAGCUGUGGCUUCUCUCAACUUCCCACAGACGGCCUGAGACUGUGCCGACAGCAGAAUUGAUUCCUAUGAUCCUGAAUGUAAAGUCUGAGUAUCAAAUCUGCAUCUCUUGGAUGGCCGUAUAAGAAAAUAAACAACUUGCUAAAACUGCUGAAACUCCCUCUGCUUGUGAGAUUUAAAAAAACUGGCUGAAAUUGGUUGGAACCAACAUGUCCAAUGGAGUCUGAAUAGAAAGAGCUUGCUGACAUCACAGCCCGAAUUUCCACCACAUUUCAUACUAACUCCCCCUGAAUUUGCAUAUGCAAACCACAAGCAAGCAUGAUCAAACAGACAACUGCGCGUGUCCGAGGACUUUCCAGAUCUCCCCUUUCCUUCCACCAAUCACUUACUAAUCUGAGAAUCCAUCCCCUAAUAAAAUCACUGCCUUAAAGCCUGCACAGGAAGACAAA